GCCUUUGUAGUGUAGUGGUCAGCACGCUCGACGCGUAUUCGAGAGGUCCGUGGUUCGAGUCUCGGCGAAGGCA
rnacentral:tRNA from 1 species